UUCCAGUUCUUAUAAUUUAUAGUAGUUUGUCACAGCUAUUGCAAUUUGAGGAAACAGAUUUCAGCAGGCAACGGACCUCGAUUUAUUUCUCCUUUUUUCUCUCCAUCAGCAAUUCAGCAUCAGCAGUAUAUAGAAGCCACGCGCCAUAACGCAUUAACAGUACCAUUUCUCAUGAUCAAAUCCAUCGCUUCCCUCAGUUUCACUUUCCGUCUCCUCCCGUGCUCGAACCACGAUCUAGGGUUUACUUCAGAUUCCAUACGAAUGUAAAUUUUCUGGCAUUCUCUUUUCCUGCGUCUUCAAACAGAAAUUAUAAAAAGCCGAUGGGAGUAGUCGUUGAGAGCUCCGUUUUUUGGGAGCCAAAUCCAUCCACAUACAUCUUCAUCUUCGUUUGUUGCUGCUUCUCGAUCUUCCUUUUCCCUCACGUCUCUAACCUCAACAGAACCUCCACAAUCUUCGACCAUGGAACCUCUCACUGGUUUCUCCGUUUCCAGCGGAACUUCCUCCUCCAUUAUUCUCUCGCCUCAGUAAUGGAAGGUCUCUGGUCGGUGUUCGGGAGUAUGAAUUAGCUUCCUAUGGAAUCGGAAGGGAAAAUAUGGUUAAGUCUCUCUGUUACGGAUAUACGACAGCUCUGUUUGCUGCUCCUUUCCUUGGCGUGCUCUCGGAUUUGAUAGGUCACAAGAAAGUUAGUUUAAUCUUUUGCAUCCUACACUUUAUUGUUGGUGUAUGGAAGAAGAUUUCAGAGCCACCAAGCAUGUUCAUGACUAGUAUAUGUCUCUCUCUUGCCAAUACAAUAUUUUCAUUCAGUUUUGAGACUUGGAUGGUCACUCAACAUGAAAAGCAAGGGCACAGGCUUGAUUCACUUAAUGACACAUAUUGGUUAAUGACUUUCUUUGAGUCUGCAUGUUUUAUUGCCAGCCAGAUGUUUGCAAAUUGGCUGAUUGGUAAUAAUACAGAAAAAAUUACUGCUCCUUCGUCUGCAGUUAUCUUCUUUGCUGCCAUAUGCUUCACUUUUAUCACCAGAGGAUGGACAGAAAAUCCAGGAUCAGCAUCUCUUAAGGAGUAUAGUCGCUCCCUCUAUGCAUACAUUUUAGGUGAUAAAAGGAUAUGGCUGUUGGCAUGGGCACAAACUUGCCUUCACUUCUCUAUUGGAAUUUUUGGAUCCUCUGGGCACCUACUGUGGUGGCUGAUGGCCGAGAAGUGCAUCUGGGAUUGAUAUAUCCAUGCUUUCUGGGCUCUAGAAUGCUAGGAAGCACUGCAUUUCCGUGUCUCACUAGUGGGCCAUCAUCGCUUAGAACUGAGGACUGCCUUGUUUUUGCAUACAUUAUACUGGCUCUUCUCCUGUCUAUUGUGGCCUAUGACUAUCAGGAAGUUGGGGUUCUGGUGAUACUAUUUUGCUUGUUUCAUGCUUGUGUCGGGUUUGUUUUGCCAUCACUUGCUAGAUUGAGGACCAUGUAUGUUCCCAAUGAAUUGCGUGGUGGGAUGAUGGGUUUCUCUCUUGCCCCUGCAAAUGCAGCUAUUCUGCUUUUAUUUUUGCAGGGUGGCUAUUAUCGGAAUGUAGGAAAUGCAGCAUUGAUGGCAUUUGGUGUGUGUGGUUUAUUGCUAGCAGCUGGUUGCAUGCAUGCCCUGAAGCAAUGGGGGAAGCAACCUUAUAACAAUUGGCAUAAACAGUGAAUGUAUGCCCCUUUGGCAGGCUUUGGUAGUGGUGGAUGACCUUCACUUUUAUUGAAUGCAAUGAGGAGUAAAGAGAUGAAGAACUUAGAUGAUGCGAAUUCAGGCAAAGGGGAAAUAAAUUUCAAAAAAGAUACAAACAUUGACUACUAGUGAGUGCUGAACUGGACUGACAUUGGGGUUCUUUCUAUAAGGACAGAGAGAGACCGAACAUGGAACUUCAGUUUAAUUCUUUCUUUAAAGUCUUAGUCCCUUGCAUACUUUCCUGCUUGGGUUUGCUUAUACGGAGGGUAUAUUCAAUUGCAGAAGCUUUGGAAGCUGCUUUCAGAAUCUGUAUCUGGUGACGUAUGUCCGUUUCUCCAGAAGAGCAUCUAAUGACCAUUAAGGUGAAAACCGAAUAUUAUGUUUUGGUCUUGUUAGCAUAUUAGGGUUGGUCAUGUGUUAUGGGCUGGGUUGCUAGUUUAUUCCAAGUUUAUUUGCAUAAACCAUUACACUGACUAACCCUGACAUGCUAAGAAGUAAGAAGUUUUAUAUGAGGUCACAACCACAAUGAAACCAUUCGAAGCUCUGGUGAUGUGAUUUUUAUCAAAUUGAUCAAGACAGAAUUCAGUUAGUAACAACUAACAAGUUGGUUUACUUGUUUUUCUGCCA